GUGGGGAAUAUUGCACAAUGGGGGAAACCCUGAUGCAGCGACGCCGCGUGAGUGAAGAAGUAUUUCGGUAUGUAAAGCUCUAUCAGCAGGGAAGAAAAAAGACGGUACCUGACUAAGAAGCCCCGGCUAACUACGUGCCAGCAGCCGCGGUAAUACGUAGGGGGCAAGCGUUAUCCGGAUUUACUGGGUGUAAAGGGAGCGUAGACGGCGCGGCAAGUCUGAAGUGAAAGGCAGGGGCUUAACCCCUGAACUGCUUUGGAAACUGCCAUGCUAGAGUGCUGGAGAGGUAAGUGGAAUUCCUAGUGUAGCGGUGAAAUGCGUAGAUAUUAGGAGGAACACCAGUGGCGAAGGCGGCUUACUGGACAGUAACUGACGUUGAGGCUCGAAAGCGUGGGGAGCAAACAGG
rnacentral:rRNA from 1 species